AGAAGCAGAAACUUGUGAAACAGCUACCUCUAGAAAGCAUUUGCUUGGAAACUGACUCCCCUGCCCUAGGUCCUGAGAAACAGGUGAGAAAUGAGCCAAAGAAUAUCUUCAUUGCUGCAGAAUACAUUGCUAAAAUAAAAGGAAUUUCAGUGGAAGAUGUUUUACAUGCAACAACACAGAAUUCACUGAAGGUCUUUCCUAAACUGAAAAACUUCCUCAGGUCCUAGAUGAUAUUCUAUAGUAUCUGAGAUUAAUUCAGAUUAUUUAAAUAUGUGUAAUUACAUAAAAUGUAUAAUAUUAAAAUAUCUAACAGAA